GAUGAACGCUGGCGGCGUGCUUAACACAUGCAAGUCGAACGAUGAAAGCGGGAGCUUGCUCCUGCUGGAUUAGUGGCGAACGGGUGAGUAACACGUGAGCAAUCUGCCCCGAACUCUGGGAUAAGCGUUGGAAACGACGUCUAAUACCGGAUACGACGCGCGAAGGCAUCUUCUGCGCGUGGAAAGAACUUCGGUUCGGGAUGAGCUCGCGGCCUAUCAGCUAGUUGGUGAGGUAACGGCCCACCAAGGCGACGACGGGUAGCCGGCCUGAGAGGGGGAACGGGCACGCUGGGACUGAGACACGGCCCAGACUCCUGCGGGAGGCAGCAGUGGGGAAUAUUGCGCAAUGGGCGGAAGCCUGACGCAGCAACGCCGCGUGGGGGAUGACGGCCUUCGGGUUGUAAACCUCUUUCGACCGGGACGAAGCUUGUGUGACGGUACCGGUAGAAGAAGCACCGGCCAACUACGUGCCAGCAGCCGCAGUAAAAC
rnacentral:rRNA from 1 species